UACAGAGGGGGGCAAGCGUUAUUCGGAAUUAUUGGGCGUAAGGACGGCGUAGGCGGCCAUUCAAGUGACGGGUGAAAGCCCUCGGCUUAACCGAGGAACUGCCUGUCAGACUGGAUGGCUUGAGACCGGGAGAGGUGAGUGGAAUUCCCAGUGUAGCGGUGAAAUGCGUAGAUAUUGGGAGGAACACCAGUGGCGAAGGCGGCUCACUGGACCGGAACUGACGCUGAGGCGCGAAAGUGUGGGGAGCGAACAGGG
rnacentral:rRNA from 1 species